UACGUAGGGGGCAAGCGUUGUCCGGAUUUAUUGGGCGUAAAGAGCGUGUAGGCGGUUCGGUAGGUCCGUUGUGAAAACUCGAGCUCAACCUCGAGACGCCGAUGGAAACCCCCGAACUAGAGUCCGGAAGAGGAGAGUGGAAUUCCUGGUGUAGCGGUGAAAUGCGCAGAUAUCAGGAAGAACACCCGUGGCUAAGGCGGCUCUCUAGUACGGUACUGACGCUGAGACGCGAAAGCGUGGGAGC
rnacentral:rRNA from 1 species